UGGGGAAUAUUGGACAAUGGGCGAAAGCCUGAUCCAGCAAUGCCGCGUGAGUGAUGAAGGCCUUAGGGUUGUAAAGCUCUUUUUACCAGGGAUGAUAAUGACAGUACCUGGAGAAUAAGCUCCGGCUAACUCCGUGCCAGCAGCCGCGGUAAUACGGAGGGAGCUAGCGUUGUUCGGAAUUACUGGGCGUAAAGCGUACGUAGGCGGUGACUCAAGUCAGAGGUGAAAGCCUGGAGCUCAACUCCAGAACUGCCUUUGAAACUAGGUCGCUAGAAUCACGGAGAGGUGAGUGGAAUUCCGAGUGUAGAGGUGAAAUUCGUAGAUAUUCGGAAGAACACCAGUGGCGAAGGCGGCUCACUGGACGUGUAUUGACGCUGAGGUACGAAAGCGUGGGGAGCAAACAGGAUUAGAUACCCUAGUAGUCCCUGAGCGGGCUGGCAAGGCGCAU
rnacentral:rRNA from 1 species